rnacentral:rRNA from 1 species
AAACUUAAAGGAAUUGACGGGGGCCCGCACAAGCAGUGGAGUAUGUGGUUUAAUUCGAAGCAACGCGAAGAACCUUACCAGGUCUUGACAUCCUGCUAACGAAGUAGAGAUACAUUAGGUGCCCUUCGGGGAAAGCAGAGACAGGUGGUGCAUGGUUGUCGUCAGCUCGUGUCGUGAGAUGUUGGGUUAAGUCCCGCAACGAGCGCAACCCUUGUGUUUAGUUGCUACGAAAGAGCACUCUAAACAGACUGCCGUUGACAAAACGGAGGAAGGUGGGGACGACGUCAAAUCAUCAUGCCCCUUAUGACCUGGGCUACACACGUACUACAAUGGUCGCUAACAGAGGGAAGCAAUACUGCAAAGUGGAGCAAAACCCUAAAAGCGAUCUCAGUUCGGAUUGUAGGCUGCAACUCGCCUACAUGAAGUUGGAAUUGCUAGUAAUCGCGGAUCAGCAUGCCGCGGUGAAUACGUUCCCGGGCCUUGUACACACCGCCCGUCACACCAUGGGAGUCGGUAAUACCCGAAGUCAGUAGUCUAACCGCAAGGAGGACACUGCCGAAGGUAGGAUUGGCGACUGGGGUGAAGUCGUAACAAGGUAGCCGUAUCGGAAGGUGCGGCUGGAUCACCUCCUUUAU